rnacentral:rRNA from 1 species
CGGAACGGGUGAGUAAUACAUCGGAACGUGCCCUGUAGUGGGGGAUAACUAGUCGAAAGAUUAGCUAAUACCGCAUACGACCUGAAGGUGAAAGUGGGGGACCGCAAGGCCUCAUGCUAUAGGAGCGGCCGAUGUCUGAUUAGCUAGUUGGUGGGGUAAAGGCCCACCAAGGCGACGAUCAGUAGCUGGUCUGAGAGGACGGUCAGCCACACUGGGACUGAGACACGGCCCAG